rnacentral:rRNA from 1 species
UGGGGAAUCUUGCGCAAUGGGCGAAAGCCUGACGCAGCGACGCCGCGUGAGUGAUGAAGGCCUUCGGGUUGUAAAGCUCUGUGGGGAGAGAAGAAUAAGUGCGGGCUAAUACCCCGCAUGAUGACGGUAUCUCCUUAGCAAGCACCGGCUAACUCUGUGCCAGCAGCCGCGGUAAGACAGAGGGUGCAAACGUUGUUCGGAAUUACUGGGCGUAAAGCGAGUGUAGGCGGUUUGGUAAGUCGGAUGUGAAAGCCCCGGGCUCAACCCGGGAAGUGCAUUCGAUACUGCCAAGCUAGAGUGCAGAAGGGGCAAUCGGAAUUCUUGGUGUAGCGGUGAAAUGCGUAGAUAUCAAGAGGAACACCUGAGGUGAAGACGGGUUGCUGGGCUGACACUGACGCUGAGGCGCGAAAGCCAGGGGAGCAAACGGGAUUAGAUACCCCAGUAGUCCCUGAGCGGGCUGGCAAGGCGCAU